rnacentral:rRNA from 1 species
UACGUAGGGUCCGAGCGUUGUCCGGAAUUACUGGGCGUAAAGAGCUCGUAGGUGGUUUGUCGCGUCGGCUGUGAAAUCCCGAGGCUCAACCUCGGGUCUGCAGUCGAUACGAGCAAACUAGAGUGUUGCAGGGGAGACUGGAAUUCCUGGUGUAGCGGUGAAAUGCGCAGAUAUCAGGAGGAACACCGGUGGCGAAGGCGGGUCUCUGGGCAACAACUGACGCUGAGGAGCGAAAGCGUGGGGAGCGAACAGG